CUUCUUAUUACACCUUCUAACGCAAUGUUUAACAGCAAGCACGAAAGACCAUCACCUUGUCGUAACCCUCUGCGAGAUUCGAAGGGACUCGAGAGUGUCCCUGAUACUCGAACUACGCACAUCACUCGAUCCAUCGUCGCCUUGAUCAAUCGUAUCAGUUUAUCCGGGAAUCCGUAUUCGUGCAUAAUCUGCCAUAGCUGGUCUCGAUCGAUUGUAUCAUACGCCGAUUUGAAAUCGAUGAACAAGUGAUGUGUGGGCACGUUGUAUUCGCGACAUUUCUGCAACACCUGGCGAAUGGCGAACGAACAUCUGGUCCGUUGUAGCGCGUUCACCCAUAAAUCCAGCCUGAUAUUGCCCCACCAACUAUCUUGCAAUCGGUGAUAGACGGCGGCAUAAAAUUUGAGAGAGUACCUUGUAGGUAGCGCUCAGUAGUGUGAUCGCGCAGUAGUUCCCGCAAUCCAACUUGUCGCCCUUUUUGUGGAUGGGACACACGAUACCUUCCAUCCAUUCCUCCGGUAAUACUUCCUCCUCUCAAAUCUUGGUAAUGACCCAGUGUAGUGCUCUCACCAGUGCUUCUCCACCGUAUUUUAGAAGCUCGCUUGGUAGUUGAUCUGCUACAGCGGCUUUGUUGUUUUUCAACCGGCCAACCUCCUCCUCAAUCUCUUGGAGGUCAGGUAACGGAAGUCUUUCGUCCUGUGCACAUACUCCAAGAUCUGUUACCACGCCACUUUCGGUACUUGCAACGUCGCCAUUGAGGUGCUCAUCGUAAUGCUGCCGUCACCUGUCGACCACCUCACGCUCGCUCGUGAGAAUAUUCCCGUGAUUAUCUCGGCACAUGUCGGCUUGUGGCACAAAGCCUCUGCGCGAGCGGUUCAGCUUCUCGUAGAACUUUCGUGUGUCCUUGGCGCGGUACAGCUCUUCCACCGCUUCGCGAUCUCGUUCUUCCUGCUGGCGCUUCUUCAUCCGGAAGACUGAGUUCUGCCUGUUCCGCGCCUGUUUGUAACGUGCCUCAUUCGCUCUCGUACGGUGUUGCAGCAUUCUCGCCCAUGCUGCAUUCUUCUCGUUUUUCAACUGUUCACAUUCGCCGUCGUACCAGUCGUUUCUGUGAUUCGGAGUCGCGAAGCCUAGUGCUGUAGCCGAGGUACUACCUAUGGCGGAUCGGAUGUCCCUCCAGCCAUGUUCAAGUGUAGCUGCGCCAAGCUGCUCUUCCGUUGGUAGGGCCACUGCUAACUGCUGCGCGUAGUCUUGAGCCACUUCUACGUUACGCAGCUGCUCUGCUGCUCGAUGUUGAGUCGCGGCGUUCGACUUCGACGCGUGGUGAUAACUGUCGGAAGUUUUGAGCGCAUGCAUACAGCUACUAAGUAGUGAUCCGAAUCUAUAUUCGCACUGCGGUAUGUGCGGACAUUGAUUAUAUCCGAGAAGAAUUUACCGUCGAUUAGAACGUGGUCGAUUUGGUUUUCUGUUUGAUGGUCGGGUGAUCUCCAGGUGGCUUUGUGUAUAUCUUUGCGGGGGAAGAAGGUGCUUCGGACUACCAUACCACGGGAGGCUGCAAAUUUCACGCAUCGCUGGCCGUUGUCAUUCGAUACGGCGUGCAGGCUGUGAGGCCCGAUUACCGGUCUGUACAUUUCCUCCCUUCCUACCUGCGCGUUCAUGUUGCCGACAACGAUUUUCACGUCACGCGGCGAGUAGUCAUCGUAUGUUUGCUCUAACUACGCGUAGAACGCUUCUUUCUCUUCAUUGGGUCUCCCCAAGCAGCACCUGCAACAUCAUCCAAAAUGUGGUUUUCUAUGCUUUGGUCUAAAAGAGUUGCAAUAAAAGCGCACACAACUUCCAUCUUGUCAGUUGAGUUGCAUUUAAACUCCGAAUAUCGUUAAGAUGCAGCUUUGUUUCAUAUGAAUUACAAAUAACAUCGAUUUAUGGAGGCGGAGCUUACAUAUUCCUCAAAAGUGGAAAUACAGUCAGCUUGCAUUAAAUGUGCUAUGUAACACACAUGAAACAUCUUACUCUGGUUUGUUUGUUCUGAUUAGGUUCCAAAUGUGUUGCGGAAAACUUGCGCGUCUUUUCAUUUUGACAGCUUUCUAACUUGUGACAAAGACGGUACAAUGAAGUAACGCGUAAGCUUUUAUGGUGCAUUGAGCAGCAAAUCUUUCACAAAGCUUCUGGUGUAGUGUGUAAGUUGAAGAAACGGCCCUUAACUCUCAACAUGCACAGCACAUGCUUGCGUUGAUCGGCUGCCACCCGAUCACACGUUGUCGCAUCUUGCCCAACACUAUAAAUCCUGUUCCCAGUUCAUUGAUGGUGCCACAGCUUUGGUAGAAGGUAGCCGCUCGAUGCCCGCUUUUCCACACUUUCUGUCCAGUCCAACUAAGUUCCUGCAACGCCACGAUGUCGAAGUUGCGUAGUUCGUCGUAGAUUAUCCUGUCACAUCUUGCGAAACCUAGUGACUUGCAAUUCCAUGUUCCAAGUUUCCAAUCGUAGUCCUUAUUUCGUCGCGUGGGUCUUUGCCGAUUGUAUCGAGUCGUAUUUUCUCCUAUGUUAUUCGCAAUGGAGAUUUUUACGGGUGACUUAUUGGGCCUACGCGUACGACCGCCGCAGGACUCUAAUAAAAGAUAAGCGCGACAAUAAUGGUAACCUUGAAACUGGAUCUCCAACGGUGAGCUCGAUCGUCGAUGUCAGAUAGCAACUGCCGAUAGUGACAGAAAUUUGGGAGCGAAAGUGAAGGUGGGUCGGCCACACUCUACGUAGGGGUGGGAACGAAAUCUGAAAGCAAGCAUUAGAUUGGAACCCAGCAGGACAUCGGCAGAGGCAGACCCAGAGGCUCACGGCGGCGCAGCCUCAACAACGAAAUCAAGCAAGUCGACAGAAAUUUGACCUGGCCACAGGUCAAGGUGGUGGCUGGUAAUCACCCAGGAUGGAAAUCUUUCGACUUACCUGAGAACACGUUUUCUCACACAAAUGUUUUAGGAGAUAUCAAUGUGAGUGUCCCAAAAAUGCUUAAAGGUCCGAACAAAGUCCCAAUUAAGUCGUUGGACUCCCAUGCAUUAGUGCGAAAUUGUGGUGUUCAUGAAGUACUAGACCAAAAAACUAUAAUACCUUUGUAUAAUAAUACCUUGUACUCUACUACAAAUCAAAAAUCAAGUUCUCCGCUAGUUGCUAUGAGAAACAAACUACUGUUAUGCAAAUAUAAACAAGAAAAUUACCGAUUA